UCUGCCUUUCUUUAAUGAAUUACUUCAUACAAUUAUAAAUUAAAAAAGAAAUCACACAAUAACAAAUCAAGAUGAGCAGACUCACAGAGAAUUCUAAAGUCCAUUCUGAGACCAAAGGGAUUUCAACCCUGAUGAGUAAAUAGAGAAGAGAUUCAAAGACAAGGGGCUUCAAGAUGCUGUUGAUUCUGUAUGAACAUGAAGGUUUCCUUAAUAUUCCAGAAGGAUGGAGCAAGUAGUGGUGGGAGUUUGCAGAUAAGGAGUAAACAAGGAAUUUCUGGUACCUGAUGUUUGAGAAGGAAUUCUGAGGAUUAAUUAAACUAUGAAUUCUCUGAUAGAAAGGACCCUAUGAAAAAAUUGGAAAACCUGCACAGUUUUGGAAUGGACUUAUUCCACUGUCACCAGCCAGCUCUGCUCGACACCUUCUCUCCCACAAAUGACUGAGCCAGAUUUCCAGAAAAGGAUGUGAAAUGGCAUGUUCCAGCAGGCUGGAGCUCUGUCCAUGGAAGCAGGCAGAGGUCUCCUUCCCAUCACUCUUUUGCAUCACAGUUUCUCCAGGGGGACACAAAGAGAGACAAUGUUUGUAAAGCUCUUCCUCACCACUCAUUAUGAGCCUGUCCCAAGAAAGGAUUCCUGAUGGGACAUUUCCUGUUCACAUUGCUGUCUUUCUCAUGAGAAUCCACUCUCAGACCCUAUGCCUCCUUGUGGACUCUGACACAUGAUGGUAUCCAACUGGACCCUGACUGAGUAAAAUAAGGAAAAGUCAAUGACAUGAGACAGUACUGGUGGUGAUGGAGUCUGAGACAUAAUCCACAGCCAACACUCAUGUUACAAGAACUGCGACAAGAACAAAAAAUACCUGUGUGAUUGCUUGUGGUACUCCAAAUAAAAAUAAGGCAACAGAUCUCAAGAAUGCAAAGACACUUCAAGAGCUUUACUCCAUUUUGGUUAAUGCAUGUUAAAUUAUACCUAUGGGGUCUUGUUCCUAUGAAAAGAUUUAUUGAGAAGUGUUAAGCAUAUCUCACACUUAUCAAGAAUGCUUAGGAAUAAUCAAGAUAUACUGAAUAUUCUGUACAGUUGCCCUUGGAAAACUGUUCCAGCAGUGGUGCUUUUGGUUUAAACUCCUACUGCUAUCCACCUUGAGUGAAGAACCCUCUAUAAGAGGGUUUGAGAAAGGAAUAUGUGCUAAGUAGAUAUGGUAAGGAUGCUGUCCAGCUGUGUGGUGGCAUGCUGUGCCUAUGUACUAGGACCUCUUAUUGAGAAACUGGAAGCUUUGGAAACCUGAGAUCUGCUGAAUCCUACCAUUACUGAUUCACACAUUCUGGGCUUUGAAAUCUCUGCCUUUAACUUGGUAACUCUCAUAGAUUUACAGAAACCUAUUCAGACAACACUUGACUUUAUGGAAAAUAUUCACGAUUACUUUUUUUAAACUGUUGGUCAGGCUUUGAUAAAAGGAAGGCAAAACCCCCAAACCAAACUUAUCAACCAGGUGCCUCACUCCAAGUUUCAGAAGUUCGGUAGACACCAAGACUUUGAAGACAUAAUUGGGGCAUAAAAACAUUAUGGAAAGCAUGUGAGGCAGAAAUAAGAGAGAAAUUUGAUAGGUCUGACAUUGUUUAUGUUUUACAUUAAACACAAAAAGAUAUCUCCAAAAUCUAAGAAAGAUAGAUUUCCUUACUCAACAGGACUCAAUUAGUCCUAGAGAAAUAAUCUAUUAGCCACUGAGAAAAUAAAAAAAAAAAAAAAAUACUUUUUCCCCUCAAGCAAAAGGACCAUUUUUUGAAAGUACCUUUUAUUCCUGGUAAGAUGGCAGAAACUUUAAAGGGAAUUGAUAAGAGAAGGGCAAUGCUAUCCUUUAGACUAAGGAGUCUGGUGCUCUUGUCCAGUGAUGGUGAUGUCUGCCUGGCUGUGCGCAGUCACUGAAGUCUGUUAGUGGCACAUCAAUAAUAAAUACAAAGCCAGAGUCCUGUUCUGACAGGGAGCACAGUCUGUGUUGCUCUGGAGAAAGCCUGAGAGACAAUCUUGGAAUGUUUCUUGUGAAAUUAAAUGUAUGUUUGAAUUCCUGCUUCUGUUAAACUGAUACUUUAUUCCUCUACAUUUCAGGAAGGGGCUUAUGUAUUACUAAUCUUAGUUGAUCCUAUUAUUGGAUAAUUAAUGCAGAUGGUGGAAAACUGUGAGAGGCUGGAUUUUCAAAAACGUCAUCACAUACUGGGGUUUCCAGUUUUGUCCCUAAUGACCUUGUCCAGAAAUCUGUGACAUUCACAGGUGUGAAGACUUGGUCAUGCACUUUUACAACAAGUGUGCAUUUGCUUCUUUUUUAGGCCACUAUGGUCCAUUUGGAAGAACUCAGUAACGGUUAGAGAAUACAAAUUUUCUUCGGAAUACAAAAAUGAAAAUAAUCAAAGGCAAUGUAGAACAUAAACUUUUACAAUAUUCUGUGGAUCUGAGGUGAUUCAAUAUACUCAUUGCACAAGGCGGCAACACAAUUUAGCUAGUUUAAAUACAUUUAAAUGAUCUCUAUUGUAUCUUAAAGAACAGUCACAGGAAUACUAACAGUUUGGCUGAAAAUCAAUAGAGCUAGCUCAGUAAUUCUUCUUCUAGAAUUACUCUCCUACCACUGUUGUUCAGGAAUAACAGUAGAAGAGCUGUCCUGUGAUAACACUCCUUGGAGACAAACCUGCCAGUGGACAGAUGAAUAUUAUCAUUGGAUAAAAAUAAGGGAAUAUCAUACAGUUCCUUAUCAUAUCUGUGAAUUGUCCAUCAAGAUUAUCUCAGAAUGGAAGAGAAGUUGUGAGAAGUGAGACCAAGCAUUACUAAAGGGAAGUCCAAGGGAUUCUGUGCUUCACAGACACAGCGGAAAAAAUUCACACUUAUGCACUUGUAUUUGAUAAUUUUCAGUUCCAAAUCCUACUUGGGAAGUCUGGUUUAAUUUUUGGUAGGGUUUUUUUUCCCUUUCCUCUUGACCAGUGGUUACUUUUUACCUGAAAUCACUGUUUAUAUCAUUCAGUAGCUUAUCACCAAGAACACCUGUGUGGAAACUGAAGGCGAUAAGGAAAUUUUCAAUAUAUCACUGUUUUCUAUUAGCAAGGUGUGAGCACAUAUAGAAGUCGCUAUCUGUCUCCUAUUUAAGUAAGAUAAGGGAAUUACAAAAUGGGGUGUGUUCUACCAAUGGUUAAUAUGUAAAAUUCCACCUGAAGAGAUAAACACUAGGAAACUGUAAAUUAAAUAUGGACACAAUGUCUCAAAAAUGUUCAACAGGGAACUUUAUCAUGUAUUUUUGUUCUAGAGCAAAUCUUGUAUUAUUUUCUUCUUUCUAUAAAACUUGUUAAUGGCCAUACCACGGUGAGGUAUUCAGUUACAUCCCCCCUGGGAAUUAUGUUUGGGCAGCUUCUGGUUUCUAUACUGGAUUAGCGCUUGCAAGGAUGUAUGGUAGGAUACAAAUUUAGAGAGAUUCCUAAGUAUAAUAGAGUGGUUUUGGCCAAACCUUGAGGGAUUGUACUGAGUUAAUGUGAGGCUUCAUCUUCGUAACUUCAGUGCAAGUAGAGUGGAAAGGGGACUUACCCUUUGAAAAUACUUGUUUGAAAACAUCCUGAGCUGAGGAUGACACAACCAAGGGAAAGGAUGGGGUUUUAAAUAAAAUUCAUACUAUUUGCUUCA